UAGAUGCAAACACAUUAGUUUCAGUUGGAGCUUCUUGACUAGAGCAGUUACCAUGUGGUGAAUUGCAUCUCUGUUCUGGCUUCUUGUAGGCUUUGGUGGAAGAUAUUGGAAUGUAUGGAUAAGAAAACCAAAUGAAAAGGACGCCGGUACUGACGCCAAUGCGCACAUCGUCUUUAUUUACCCUGAUGGCACACAAUCCAAGUCUUUUGUUUUGGAAAAUUGGUUUUCGAACGACCAUGAGCAAAAUUCCGUAGACCAAUUCGAAAUAUUCAACGUUGAUAACAACAAGGACGUCUGCGCUAUCAGACUCUAUCAUGAUAACAGUGGCUAUUCCGCUGGCUGGUAUGUCGAAAAGGUGUGGAUAAAAACUGGAGCAAUAGCAAAUAAUCUCGUAUUUGAUUGCAACUGUUGGGUCCACACAGAAGAAGAAGAGAGGAAAUCAAAGCAUAUAAUACAGCGCACGCCACCGUGUAGCGCAGGUACCUUGUAAUGAAUGAUCAACGUGGCAAUGGUAGACAGCGGAUGACAAGGAUGGAGAGAAGUAACGUGGCUUUGGAGCAGAUGUCCUGAGGUCAACUUACAGUACUGCAAACUGAAAUUUUGUUUUCGUCGUCGAAACUCUGAAGGCAUCCAGGACUCAAAUACUUGCUGAAAUUGCUUUUAUUUGUAGAAACUUGCUGGCAUGUCAUAAUAAAGAACGUCUGUUCAUGCA